rnacentral:rRNA from 1 species
AUGGCAACCCUUCGAGUCGACGAAAUUCAUAAAAUUCUCCGCGAACGUAUUGAACAAUAUAAUAGGAAAGUAGGGAUUGAGAAUAUAGGUCGCGUAGUUCAAGUGGGGGAUGGGAUUGCUCGUAUUAUAGGUCUUGGUGAAAUAAUGUCAGGUGAAUUAGUCGAAUUUGCAGAAGGUACUAGGGGUAUUGCUCUGAAUUUGGAAUCCAAAAAUGUUGGGAUUGUAUUAAUGGGCGAUGGGUUGAUGAUACAAGAGGGAAGUUUUGUAAAAGCAACAGGAAGAAGUGCUCAGAUACCCGUGAGUGAGGCUUACUUGGGUCGUGUUGUAAAUGCUCUGGCUAAACCUAUUGAUGGGAAAGGCGAAAUUAUAGCUUCCGAAUCUCGCUUAAUUGAAUCUCCUGCUCCAAGUAUAAUUUCCAGGCGUUCCGUAUACGAACCUCUUCAAACAGGGCUUAUUGCUAUCGAUUCGAUGAUCCCUAUAGGGCGCGGUCAGCGAGAGUUAAUUAUUGGGGACAGACAGACUGGCAAAACAGCAGUAGCCACAGAUACAAUUCUCAAUCAAAAAGGCCAAGGUGUAAUAUGUGUUUAUGUAGCUAUCGGUCAAAGGGCAUCCUCCGUAGCUCAAGUAGUAACUACUUUCCACGAGGAGGGGGCUAUGGAAUACACUAUUGUAGUAGCUGAAAUGGCGGAUUCACCUGCUACAUUACAAUACCUCGCUCCUUAUACGGGAGCAGCCCUGGCUGAGUAUUUUAUGUACCGCGAACGGCAUACUUUAAUAAUUUAUGAUGAUCUCUCCAAACAGGCACAAGCUUAUCGCCAAAUGUCCCUUCUAUUAAGAAGACCUCCCGGCCGUGAGGCUUAUCCAGGGGAUGUUUUUUAUUUGCAUUCACGCCUUUUAGAAAGAGCCGCUAAAUUAAAUUCUCUUUUAGGCGAAGGAAGUAUGACCGCUUUACCAAUAGUUCAGACUCAAUCUGGAGACGUUUCCGCCUAUAUUCCUACUAAUGUAAUCUCCAUUACAGAUGGACAAAUAUUCUUAUCUGCGGAUCUAUUCAAUGCCGGAAUUCGACCCGCUAUUAAUGUGGGUAUUUCUGUUUCCAGAGUAGGAUCCGCGGCUCAAAUUAAAGCCAUGAAACAAGUAGCUGGCAAAUCAAAAUUGGAACUAGCGCAAUUCGCAGAGUUACAAGCCUUUGCACAAUUCGCCUCUGCUCUCGAUAAAACAAGUCAGAAUCAAUUGGCAAGGGGUCGACGAUUAAGGGAAUUUCUUAAAUAA